rnacentral:rRNA from 1 species
GUGGGGAAUCUUCCGCAAUGGACGAAAGUCUGACGGAGCAACGCCGCGUGAGUGAAGAAGGUUUUCGGAUCGUAAAGCUCUUUCGUUAGGGACGAACGUGCUCUUUGUGAAUAAUGAGGAGUAAUGACGGUACCUAAAUAAGAAGCCACGGCUAACUACGUGCCAGCAGCCGCGGUAAUACGUAGGUGGCAAGCGUUGUCCGGAAUUAUUGGGCGUAAAGCGCGCGCAGGCGGGAUAUCAAGUCUGUCUUAAAAGUGCGAGGCUCAACCUCGUGAGGGGACAGAAACUGGUAUUCUUGAGUGUCGGAGAGGAAAGUGGAAUUCCAAGUGUAGCGGCGAAAUGCGUAGAGAUUUGGAAGAACACCAGUGGCGAAGGCGACUUUCUGGACGAUGUCUGACGCUGAGGCGCGAAAGCUAGGGGAGCGAACGGGAUUAGAUACCCGUGUAGUCC